AACGCACCUUGCGCCCUUUGGCCAUUCCGAAGGGCAUACCUGUUUGAGUAUCAUGAACACCUCAACUCUCAUGGUCUUCCGUGAUGAGCUUGGACUUUGGGGGGGUCUUGCUGGCCUGCGGCCGGCUCCUCUCAAAUGAAUCAGCUUGCCAGUGUUUGGUGGCAUCACGGGUGUGAUAACUAUCUACGCUCACGAUUGUCCACGGGGUAACCUUCAGUCAUGGAGGUCCGCUGGUGCUCACAAACGUCUCUUCCCGAUGAGAUGGGCCUUUGAACGUUUGAUCUCAAAUCAGGUAGGACUACCCGCUGAACUUAA
rnacentral:rRNA from 1 species